UACGGAGGGUGCAAGCGUUAUCCGGAUUCACUGGGUUUAAAGGGUGCGUAGGUGGUGAGGUAAGUCAGCGGUGAAAUCCCCGAGCUUAACUUGGGAACUGCCAUUGAUACUAUCUCUCUUGAAUAUCUUGGAGGUGAGCGGAAUAUGUCAUGUAGCGGUGAAAUGCUUAGAUAUGACAUAGAACACCAAUUGCGAAGGCAGCUCACUACACGGUAAUUGACACUGAGGCACGAAAGCGUGGGGAUCAAACAGG
rnacentral:rRNA from 1 species